UGGGGGAUAUUGCACAAUGGGCGAAAGCCUGAUGCAGCGACGCCGCGUGGGGGAUGAAGGCUUUCGGGUUGUAAACCUCUUUCGCUAUCGAACAAGGCCCGCUUAGGUUGGGUUGAGGGUAGGUGGAGAAGAAGCGCCGGCUAACUACGUGCCAGCAGCCGCGGUAAUCCGUAGGGCGCGAGCGUUGUCCGGAAUUAUUGGGCGUAAAGGGCUUGUAGGCGGCUUGUUGCGCCUGCUGUGAAAACGCGGGGCUUAACUUCGCGCGUGCAGUGGGUACGGGCAGGCUUGAGUGUGGUAGGGGUGACUGGAAUUCCAGGUGUAGCGGUGGAAUGCGCAGAUAUCUGGAGGAACACCGAUGGCGAAGGCAGGUCACUGGGCCAUUACUGACGCUGAGGAGCGAAAGCAUGGGUAGCGAACAGG
rnacentral:rRNA from 1 species